UACGUAGGGUGCGAGCGUUGUCCGGAAUUAUUGGGCGUAAAGGGCUCGUAGGCGGUCUGUUGCGUCGGUAGUGAAAACUCAGGGCUUAACCCUGAGCCUGCUUCCGAUACGGGCAGACUAGAGGUAUGCAGGGGAGAACGGAAUUCCUGGUGUAGCGGUGAAAUGCGCAGAUAUCAGGAGGAACACCGGUGGCGAAGGCGGUUCUCUGGGCAUUACCUGACGCUGAGGAGCGAAAGUGUGGGGAGCGAACAGG
rnacentral:rRNA from 1 species